GUUGGGAUAGUUCAGUUGGUAGAGCAUGAGACUCUUAAUUUCAGGUUUGUGGGUUCAAGCCCCACAUCAGACUCUGACA